CCUAAUCUAUACCCCCAAACGGCGCCUCCCCCCAGCUCUGAUUCUGCCUCGCCCAAGUUCACCCAAACUCGUCUGAGUUUCAGACGAGUUCUUCCCCCAAACUCAUCGCACAUGGUCCCCUCCUUUCGUCUCUCUAACGUGGCAUAACCGUUUCUGACCGAAUAUUUUCAGCUUCACCACAUUCUCAUGCGCUUUUGAUUUCUUGGGACGAAUUUCGGGUAAAUGGGAGCGAUUGAAUGCGAGAAAUCACAUCCACACCUUCCAUUUGUCGGUUUUUGUUCUAUGUGAGAUUUUUUGUGGCGUUUUCGGAUUUAGGAGGAAUAUUUGGUGAUUUCUUGGAGAAAGGGCAGAAGCUUCGAGAGUUGAGUAUAUAUAGUGGGGUUUUCAGAGAUUUUGGGCUGGGGACAGAUUUUCGGAGAAAAUUUUGAGAGUCCUGCUACUGGUUCGUGUUAUCUUACUUUGAAUUGCUGUUAUUUUCUUGCUGGGAUUUUGGAUUCAAAGCUUUGUAGUCAACCUCACAUCUAUUAUCAAAAGAAAGGUUUGAUUUUAGGUUUAUCUCUUUACUCCCUCUUAACUUGUUCUGGCAUUGAUCGAAAUAUGCUGAUAGUUGAAAUUUUGUUAGAUUUAGAAUGUUUAUGAGCUGGUUUAUGUGAAACCAGUCUGUGAUGCAAUUUUUGUCGUGAAUUCUGUUGUUUUUCA